rnacentral:rRNA from 1 species
UACGUAGGGUGCAAGCGUUGUCCGGAAUUAUUGGGCGUAAAGAGCGUGUAGGCGGCCAGGUAGGUCUGCUGUGAAAACUCGAGGCUCAACCUCGAGACGUCGGCGGAAACCAUCUGGCUAGAGUCCGGAAGAGGAGAAUGGAAUUCCUGGUGUAGCGGUGAAAUGCGCAGAUAUCAGGAAGAACACCCGUGGCGAAGGCGGUUCUCUGGGACGGAACUGACGCUGAGACGCGAAAGCGUGGGGAGCGAACAGG